rnacentral:rRNA from 1 species
AUGUUGUUGCAGUUAAAAAGCUCGUAGUUGGAUUUCUGGUGGGAGUGGCCGGUCCGCCGUAAGGUGUGUACUUGGUUGUCUCCCGUCAUCCUUGUGGGAACUGCUCUGGCAUUAAGUUGUCGGGGUUAAGGAACACAUCGUUUACUGUGAAAAAAUUAAAGUGUUUAAAGCAGGCUUAUGCCGUUGAAUACAUUAUCAUGGAAUAAUAAGAUACGACUUUGGCGUCUAUUUUGUUGGUUUGCACACCAAGGUAAUGAUUAAUAAGGAUAGUUGGGGGUAUUCGUAUUUAAUUGUCAGAGGUGAAAUUCUUGGAUUUAUGAAAGACGAACUUCUGCGAAAUCAUUUACCAAAUGAUGUUUUCAUUAAUCAAGAACGAAAGUUAGGGGAUCGAAGAUGAUUAUAUACCAUCGUAGUCUUAACCAUAAACUAUGCCGACUAGGGAUUGGACGUGGUUUGUUCAUUGACCCGUUCAGCACCUUACGAGAAAUCAAAGUCUUUGGGUUCCGGGGGGAGUAUGGUCGCAAUGCUGAAACUUAGAGGAAUUGACGGAGGGGCACCACCAGGAGUGGAGCCUGCGGCUUAAUUUGACUCAACACGGGAAAACUUACCAGGUCCAGACAUAGUAAGGAUUGACAGAUUGAGAGCUCUUUCUUGAUUCUAUGGGUGGUGG